UUAAAUUGAAGAGUUUGAUCAUGGCUCAGAUUGAACGCUGGCGGCAGGCCUAACACAUGCAAGUCGAACGGUAACAGGAAGCAGCUUGCUGCUUUGCUGACGAGUGGCGGACGGGUGAGUAAUGUCUGGGAAACUGCCUGAUGGAGGGGGAUAACUACUGGAAACGGUAGCUAAUACCGCAUAACGUCGCAAGACCAAAGAGGGGGACCUUCGGGCCUCUUGCCAUCGGAUGUGCCCAGAUGGGAUUAGCUAGUAGGUGGGGUAACGGCUCACCUAGGCGACGAUCCCUAGCUGGUCUGAGAGGAUGACCAGCCACACUGGAACUGAGACACGGUCCAGACUCCUACGGGAGGCAGCAGUGGGGAAUAUUGCACAAUGGGCGCAAGCCUGAUGCAGCCAUGCCGCGUGUAUGAAGAAGGCCUUCGGGUUGUAAAGUACUUUCAGCGGGGAGGAAGGGAGUAAAGUUAAUACCUUUGCUCAUUGACGUUACCCGCAGAAGAAGCACCGGCUAACUCCGUGCCAGCAGCCGCGGUAAUACGGAGGGUGCAAGCGUUAAUCGGAAUUACUGGGCGUAAAGCGCACGCAGGCGGU
rnacentral:rRNA from 1 species